CAGUAGCCGCGGUAAUACGUAGGUGGCAAGCGUUGUCCGGAAUUAUUGGGCGUAAAGCGCGCGCAGGCGGAUCGGUCAGUCUGUCUUAAAAGUUCGGGGCUUAACCCCGUGAUGGGAUGGAAACUGCCAAUCUAGAGUAUCGGAGAGGAAAGUGGAAUUCCUAGUGUAGCGGUGAAAUGCGUAGAUAUUAGGAAGAACACCAGUGGCGAAGGCGACUUUCUGGACGAAAACUGACGCUGAGGCGCGAAAGCCAGGGGAGCGAACGGGAUUAGAUACCCCGGUAGUCCCUGUCUCUUAUACA
rnacentral:rRNA from 1 species